UAUUCCCUCCGUUUGCGCCUACCUAUUCCUCCCCUCGCUCCCUCGAACACAGCGCGGACGUCAUCCUCAUCGCCAUAGGCCGCAAGUUGAGAGGAUAAUUCGACGGCGUAGUACCUCUGGUGUCGGGUCUAGGGCUUGGCCUAUCGUGUGCCUAGAGCUUGGUGCACUGCGGGGUCGUCGUUGGCGAGGCACUUGUCAUCGUGGACAGGCAGACCCUACCGACGCGCUCAUCUACGGUGAGUCGGUUUCCUCCUAUGCAAUAUCUUGGGG
rnacentral:lncRNA from 7 species